AUGGCUUCAUCCGGUUCCAUGACAAGGCCACCAUGUGCUCACCAUGAAGACAUGCCACACAAGUGGAAGGACGCAUCUUUGAACAAGGUGAAGGAGAAGGAUGUGAAGAUUCCGCCAUGUUGGUGUGGAGAUGUUUGCAAGGUGAAGGAGUCCACCGACCGAAAGAAGUCAUGGACCGAAGGAAGGAGAUAUUUUGUUUGCCCCAAUUAUGCUUACGAUCGUGCGCUUCCAACUAACGCCUAUGACAUUCCACCGGUAUGCUAG
rnacentral:rRNA from 1 species